ensembl:lncRNA
GAAAAUUAGGUGACAGUUCAAAAACAACAACAGAAAGAACGGAAAGAACGGAAAGAACGGAAAGAACCUCCACAGAGACAGAAACAUACAACAGAAAAAUACGUGACAAGUGAAGAACAACAACGGAAACAACGGAAACAACGGAAACAACGGAAACAACCACCACAGAGACAGAAACAUAAGGCAGAAAAUUAGGUGACAGGUCAAGAAUAACAAUGCAAAGAACGGAAAGAAUGGAAAGAACGGAAAUAAAGAACCUCCACAGAGACAGAAACAUACGGCAGAAAAUUAGGGGACAUUUCAAGAACAACUACAGAAAGAACGGAAAGAACCUCCACAGAGACAGAAACAUACGGCAGAAAAUAAGGUGACAGGUCAAGAAUAACAAUGGAAAGAACGGAAAGAAUGGAAAGAACGGAAAUAAAGAACCUCCACAGAGACAGAAACAUACGGCAGAAAAUUAGGGGACAUUUCAAGAACAACUACAGAAAGAACGGAAAGAACCUCCACAGAGACAGAAACAUACGGCAGAAAAUUAGGGGACAGGUCAAGAAUAACAAUGGAAAGAACAGAAAGAAUGGAAAGAACGGAAAUAAAGAACCUCCACAGAGACAGAAACAUACGGCAGAAAAUUAGGGGACAUUUCAAGAACAACAACAGAAAGAACGGAAAGAACGGAAAGAACAUAAAGAACCUCCACAGAGACAGAAACAUACGGCAGAAAAUUACGUACAG